rnacentral:rRNA from 1 species
ACUCCUACGGGUGGCUGCAGUGGGGAAUAUUGGACAAUGGGGGCAACCCUGAUCCAGCAAUGCCGCGUGUGUGAAGAAGGCCUUAGGGUUGUAAAGCACUUUCGUUAGUGAAGAAAGGUUUAUGGUUAAUACCUGUGAAUUUGACAUUAGCUAAAGAAGAAGCACCGGCUAACUCCGUGCCAGCAGCCGCGGUAAUACGGAGGGUGCAAGCGUUAUUCGGAAUGACUGGGCGUAAAGCGCACGCAGGCGGUUAUUUAAGUCAGAUGUGAAAGCCCGGGCUUAACCUGGGAAUUGCAUUUGAAACUGGGUAACUAGAGUAUGUCAGAGGAAGGCGGAAUUUCCAGUGUAGCAGUGAAAUGCGUAGAGAUUGGAAGGAACACCGAUGGCGAAGGCAGCCUUCUGGGGCAAUACUGACGCUCAUGUGCGAAAGCGUGGGUAGCAAACAGGAUUAGAUACCCUGGUAGUCCACGCCCUAAACGAUGUCAACUAGGUGUUGGGCACUUAAGUGCUCGGUACCGCAGCUAACGCAUUAAGUUGACCGCCUGGGGAGUACGGCCGCAAGGUUGAAACUCAAAGAAAUUGACGGGGACCCGCACAAGCGGUGGAGCAUGUGGUUUAAUUCGAUGCAACGCGAAGAACCUUACCAGGCCUUGACAUCCAGAGAACUAAGCAGAGAUGCUAUGGUGCCUUCGGGAACUCUGAGACAGGUGCUGCAUGGAUGUCGUCAGCUCGUG